rnacentral:rRNA from 1 species
GAUCAACGCUGGCGGCGUGCAUGAGACAUGCAAGUCGAACGGACACUCAGGGCUUGCUCUGAGUGUUAGUGGCGGACGGCUGAGUAACGCGUAGGUGACCUGCCCCGAAGUGGGGAAUAACUGCCCGAAAGGGUGGCUAAUACCGCAUGUGGUGAUGCGUUCAUUCGCAUCAGUAAAGCCGCAAGGCGCUUCGGGAGGGGCCUGCGUCCGAUUAGCUCGNGGUGAGGUAACGGCUCACCAAGGCGACGAUCGGUAGGUGGUCUGAGAGGACGAUCACCCAGACUGGGACUGAGACACGGCCCAGACUCCUACGGAGGCAGCAGUCGGGAAUUUUGCGCAAUGGGCGAAAGCCUGACGCAGCAACGCCGCGUGAGGGAUGACGGCC